rnacentral:rRNA from 1 species
GGCGGGACACGUGGUAUCCUGUCUGAAUAUGGGGGGACCAUCCUCCAAGGCUAAAUACUCCUGACUGACCGAUAGUGAACCAGUACCGUGAGGGAAAGGCGAAAAGAACCCCGGCGAGGGGAGUGAAAAAGAACCUGAAACCGUGUACGUACAAGCAGUGGGAGCCUCUUUAUGGGGUGACUGCGUACCUUUUGUAUAAUGGGUCAGCGACUUAUAUUCUGUAGCAAGGUUAACCGUAUAGGGGAGCCGAAGGGAAACCGAGUCUUAACUGGGCGUUAAGUUGCAGGGUAUAGACCCGAAACCCGGUGAUCUAGCCAUGGGCAGGUUGAAGGUUGGGUAACACUAACUGGAGGACCGAACCGACUAAUGUUGAAAAAUUAGCGGAUGACCUGUGGCUGGGGGUGAAAGGCCAAUCAAACCGGGAGAUAGCUGGUUCUCCCCGAAAGCUAUUUAGGUAGCGCCUCGUGAACUCAUCUUCGGGGGUAGAGCACUGUUUCGGCUAGGGGGCCAUCCCGGCUUACCAACCCGAUGCAAACUACGAAUACCGAAGAAUGUUAUCACGGGAGACACACGGCGGGUGCUAACGUCCGUCGUGAAGAGGGAAACAACCCAGACCGCCAGCUAAGGUCCCAAAGUCAUGGUUAAGUGGGAAACGAUGUGGGAAGGCACAGACAGCCAGGAUGUUGGCUUAGAAGCAGCCAUCAUUUAAAG